CACGUAGGGUGCGAGCGUUGUCCGGAAUUAUUGGGCGUAAAGAGCUCGUAGGCGGUGUGUCGCGUCGGCUGUGAAAACCCGUGGCUUAACUGCGGGCUUGCAGCCGAUACGGGCGGGCUGGAGUUCGGUAGGGGAGACUGGAAUUCCUGGUGUAGCGGUGAAAUGCGCAGAUAUCAGGAGGAACACCGGUGGCGAAGGCGGGUCUCUGGGCCGAUACUGACGCUGAGGAGCGAAAGCGUGGGUAGCAAACAGG
rnacentral:rRNA from 1 species